GGCUGUGAGGGCGAUCUGGCUGUGACAUCUGUCACCCCACUGAUCGCCAGGGUUGAUUCGGCUGAUCUGGCUGGCUAGGCGGGUGUCCCCUUCCUCCCUCAAUGAUCCAUGUGCGACCCUCCCGAAGCUGCGCGCUCAGUCGAAGAGGACGACUUCCCCCGAGAGAGGAGGACCGUUCCUCGGUCAAGGGUGUACGAGUAGCUGCGCUCCCCUGCUGGAACCUCCAAACAAGCUCUCAGGAACAUUUGGUGAUAUUAAAGAGUUACUGGUAACACAUUUUAGCAUGAUAAAGAUUUUUUUUAAUCAGAAUUUA
rnacentral:snRNA from 1 species